GACGAACGCUGGCGGCGUGCUUAACACAUGCAAGUCGAACGGAAAGGCUCCAGCUUGCUGGAGUACUCGAGUGGCGAACGGGUGAGUAACACGUGGGUAAUCUGCCCUGCACUCUGGGAUAAGCCUGGGAAACUGGGUCUAAUACUGGAUAUGACCUUUCUCCUUAUGGGGUUUGGUGGAAAGUUUUUCGGUGUAGGAUGAGCCCGCGGCCUAUCAGCUUGUUGGUGGGGUGAUGGCCUACCAAGGCGACGACGGGUAGCCGGCCUGAGAGGGUGAUCGGCCACAUUGGGACUGAGAUACGGCCCAGACUGAUACGGGAGGCAGGAGUGGGGAAUAUUGCACAAUGGGCGGAAGCCUGAUGGAGCGACGCCGCGUGAGGGAUGACGGCCUUCGGGUUGUAAACCUCUUUCAGCAGGGACGAAGCGUAAGUGACGGUACCUGCAGAAGAAGCACCGGCUACCUAUGU
rnacentral:rRNA from 1 species